UUAAGUUCAGCGGGUAGUCUCACCCGAUUUGAGGUCAAGGUUCGUGGGUCGAGCGAGCUCGAACAAUGUCUUCCAUGAGACGGUUAGAAGCGGGUUCCCAAGGAACAGAGCAAAUCCCAAGACGUAGAAACAUCUUAUCACGCCUGGGGAUCAGCAAAGGGGACCCCACUAAUGCAUUCAAGAGGAGCUGGCUUUUCGCA
rnacentral:misc_RNA from 1 species